GUCAGGAUGGCCGAGCGGUCUAAGGCGCCAGACUCAAGGUACUGCCUUGGUUUACGUACGUAAAUCUCGUUGAGUGUUCUGGUCCUCAAUUGAGGGCGUGGGUUCAAAUCCCACUUCUGACA
rnacentral:tRNA from 1 species